rnacentral:lncRNA from 1 species
CAUCAAGGGGUUAACAUUGUUGAUUACAUAGAUCCAGUUUAUGUCGCCACAGAAGCAGACCAACCUGGUGGAAGGUUUCCUAAAUGUGAUCUAACUGGAACUAAAUGCAUUGACCUCCAGGGCAAUGGUUCCAUGGAACCCGGUGAAUGUUCCCCUAUAUCUGAAGGGGAGCAAUACGAUGAUGCAUCAAAGAUGUUCCCUGAUGAAGAUGAAGCUAGUGUAACAUAUUCAAUAAACAAUGGACAUGCAUGCCUUGAGAAUCACAAGGAAUUUGUUAAUUUGGAGAUUGUGCAGCAUGAUGAUGGCGAUGAAGUUAGUCUUUUAUCUCCUGCAGAGUGGAUAGCGUCACAGCUACGUGUCAAUCGCAAGGAUAAACAUGUCAACAAACAUCAAGGGGUUAACAUUGUUGAUUACAUAGAUCCAGUUUAUGUCGCCACAGAAGCAGACCAACCUGGUGGAAGGUUUCCUAAAUGUGAUCUAACUGGAACUAAAUGCAUUGACCUCCAGGGCAAUGGUUCCAUGGAACCCGGUGAAUGUUCCCCUAUAUCUGAAGGGGAGCAAUACGAUGAUGCAUCAAAGAUGUUCCCUGAUGAAGAUGAAGCUAGUGUAACAUAUUCAAUAAACAAU